CGUCUCGCGUCAGUUCCUGCCCUGCUUCGGCGACUGACCAAUCACACGUCAGCUGAUUGGACUCCCGACACGUCAUCUCCAUGGCGACAGGGAGGGCCCGCCUUUUCCGGCCCCUUUGGGGAGCCGCUUCUCCCUCAACAUGGGGACAAUAUAUUUGUUUCGCAAAUCCCAGAGAUCCCUACUUGGCAAGUUGACGCAGGAAUUCAGAUCGGUCGCCUCUGAUCGAAGGUCCUGGAAGAUCUUGCUGUUUGGUGCAAUAAACAUAGUAUGUACUGGGUUCCUUCUUAUGUGGUGCAGUUCUACAAACAGCAUAGGUACGUUUCUGUUUCUACAUUUAAAUGCUUGUGGAUGGUAAAUUGAUGAUAGAAUCAAUUAUUCAAUUGAUUAUAGAAUCUUGGUUUGUAUUAAAGAGAGACAGCCAGUAUAGUAAUUAAAUGAGGUUAGGGCUGUUAGCAUCACGUGAUAUUAAAUGCUGUCUUUCUAUCAGGUGUUUUCAAAAGACACUCUAGCUCAUUGCUGUUUUCUUCCUUGAGGUUUUCCCCAGGUGGGGUUUAACAGAAUAGCAAGAUUAAUCAGCCUGCAAUCUGUCUGGUUUUGGGCUUUAUUGACUGGCACCAUUUGGAUGUGAUUUCACAAUCACUAGUACUGUUUGUGCUGAAAAUGUCUUGAAGGUGGCUGUUGCCGCAUUAUUUCCCCAACAUUGCAAUUUGAAAUUAAGUAAAUUUUCCAGCACUAGAAAUGUGCAUGAAGAGAGAUCAUGCAAUAGGAUAUUU